CUCCUACGGGAGUCAGCAGUAGGGAAUCUUCCGCAAUGGGCGCAAGCCUGACGGAGCAACGCCGCGUGAGUGAGGAAGGCCUUCGGGUUGUAAAACUCAGUCACCUGGGAAGAGAGGUAUGGGGAGUGGAAUGCCCCAUACGAGACGGUACCAGGGGAGGAAGCCCCGGCUAACUACGUGCCAGCAGCCGCGGUAAUACGUAGGGGGCAAGCGUUGUCCGGAAUCACUGGGCGUAAAGCGUGCGUAGGCGGUCUUUCAAGUCCGGGGUGAAAACUCAAGGCUCAACCUUGAGAAUGCCUUGGAAACUGGGGGACUUGAGUACUGGAGAGGCAAGGGGAAUUCCACGUGUAGCGGUGAAACGCGUAGAGAUGUGGAGGAAUACCAGUGGCGAAGGCGCCUUGCUGGACAGUGACUGACGCUGAGGCACGAAAGCGUGGGGAGCAAACAGGAUUAGAUACCCUGGUAGUCCACGCCGUAAACGAUGAGUGCUAGGUGUUGGGGGUUCAUCCCCUCAGUGCCGAAGGAAACCCAAUAAGCACUCCGCCUGGGGAGUACGGUCGCAAGACUGAAACUCAAAGGAAUUGACGGGGGCCCGCACAAGCAGUGGAGCAUGUGGUUUAAUUCGAAGCAACGCGAAGAACCUUACCAGGGCUUGACAUCCCUCUGACCGGUUCAGAGAUGGACCUUCCCUUCGGGGCAGAGGAGACAGGUGGUGCAUGGUUGUCGUCAGCUCGUGUCGUGAGAUGUUGGGUUAAGUCCCGCAACGAGCGCAACCCUUGACCUGUGUUACCAGCACGUAAUGGUGGGGACUCACAGGUGACUGCCGGCGUAAGUCGGAGGAAGGUGGGGAUGACGUCAAAUCAUCAUGCCCUUUAUGUCCUGGGCUACACACGUGCUACAAUGGGCGGUACAACGGGAAGCGAGACCGCGAGGUGGAGCGAAACCCAAAAAGCCGUUCGUAGUUCGGAUUGCAGGCUGCAACCCGCCUGCAUGAAGCCGGAAUUGCUAGUAAUCGCGGAUCAGCAUGCCGCGGUGAAUCCGUUCCCGGGCCUUGCACACACCGCCCGU
rnacentral:rRNA from 1 species